AUGCGGUAAUUCCUGCCCAGUGAAAUUAACUUCAACGGCCGCGGUAUCUUAACCGUGCAAAGGUAGCAUAAUCAUUUGCCUAUUAAUUGUAGGCUAGAAUGAACGGAUAAACGAAAUAAAAACUGUCUCAGUUAGUCACCUAAAAAUUAUUAUUCACAUGAAGAAAUGUGGAUAGCUUCGAAGGACAAGAAGACCCUAUAGAGCUUCAUUUAAAUAUAAUAUACAAUAUAAUUAUAAAAAAUUCGGUUGGGGCGACCCUGGGAAUCAUAAACACCCUCAAAACACCAGAUAUAUAAAUCAAAUAAAUGACCCUUAUUAAGAUCAAAAGACUAAGCUACCUUAGGGAUAACAGGCUAAUCCCAUUAUAGAGUUCAUAUCGACAAUGGGGAUUGGCACCUCGAUGUUGGCUUAGGUAUCAACAUAGCGCAAGAGCUAUGUAAAGAUGGUUUGUUCAACCAGUAAUC
rnacentral:rRNA from 1 species